UAUAAAAAUGGUAAACGGCGAGCAUUUUCAAUUAGUUUACUUGUCAACAUGAUGUCCUAUACGAGUUUGUUUUUUAUUUUAAUUGUUUUUGCUAUUCAAAUUGCAAUUAUUUUGACUGCACCACCACCUGAGGGAAUGUCAGAAGUGAAAUCAGAGAAUACGGCACUGAUUGAUCUUAUAACCGGGUUUAUGAACGUGAGUCUCGGCUAAAGGGAUGCAAUCAUUUUAAUUUCGAUGUGGCACAAUCAAUAAAAUUUAAGAACACA